rnacentral:lncRNA from 1 species
GUGGAGUUUGGGCCCUUUUGUUGACUGCCCAGGGCUGGAGUUAUGUGUGUGGCAUCCUUGCUGCCGACAGACAGAGCCCAGGUCCCCCGGUCUCAGAUUCCGAGGUUAGCUUGGCACACGGACCCAGCAGAGUCCCAGCGUGUGCAGGCCAUGUGUGGAUCUCAGCUCUGUGCUCUCUUUCCCUCUGUUCUGCUUUGGCUGGUGGCCCUGGGCUGGAUGCCCUACCCCUAACCUGUUUCCUCCUCUGUUCUGCCCUAGCAGGAGAAUCCCAACCCCAGCACACGUUCGUGCUUCUUGUCUCUUACUCUCCAGCUCCCCUCCCCUGACUCCAGUCUGUCUGGCUGCUCCUGCAUCCACUCCCCGACUCUGUCCACUUGAGCUCAGUCUGGCACAGGGCUUAAGAGCAGAACCUGGGGCUUUGGAGUCACAGUGACUUCCCUCUGUGUCCUCAGCUGUAAGACAGAGGUAAUAAUACCGCCCGCCCUCCCACGCCGACAGAGCUGUCACACAGCAAGCCCACGAGAAACGCUAGCG